UGGAAACGUUACACCAAAAGCAGCAACCUGACUGUGCACCGGCGCUCACACACCGGGGAGCGGCCCUAUACCUGCGAGCUCUGCCCCUAUGCCUGUGCCCAGAGCAGCAAGCUGAACCGCCACCGCCGCAUGCACGGUCUGGGGCC